GGGAGGUAGUGACAAUAAAUAACAAUACGGGGUUCUUUAGGAUCUCGUAAUUGGAAUGAGUACAAUUUAAAUCUCUUAACGAGGAACAAUUGGAGGGCAAGUCUGGUGCCAGCAGCCGCGGUAAUUCCAGCUCCAAUAGCGUAUAUUAAAGUUGUUGCAGUUAAAAAGCUCGUAGUUGAAUUUCGGGGUUAGUAAGUUGGUCAUGCCUUCGGUAUGUAUUGGCUUUACUGAUUCCUCCUUCUUGACGAACCGUGAUGUCAUUAAUUUGGUGUUGCAGGGAAACAGGACUGUUACUUUGAAAAAUUAGAGUGUUUAAGCAGGCUAACGCUUGAAUACAUUAGCAUGGAAUAAUGAAACAGGACGUUUGAUCCUAUUUUGUUGGUUUCUAGGAUUGACGUAAUGAUUAAUAGGGAUAGUUGGG
rnacentral:rRNA from 1 species